rnacentral:sRNA from 1 species
GUUAUUGUUUGCUCGCUUUCUUUUCCUUUCCCCCUAACAUUAGCAUGUGGAAUGAUUUAUACUGCUUGAAACAUCAAUUGUUAUUGUUUUCUUUUCCUUUUCCUUUCAUCACAGGAUAGAGCCACUUGUCGGUAAAGAAUACAUCAGCCCGCGACCAGUUUUGAUUCCAUAUCACAGAGGAGGGAAAAGGUUGUACAUUGGAUUUCAGAAAUUUACAGAAGACAUAGCAGUUCAAACUCAGUCAGUAAAGAAGUAAAGAAUUAUAUGAAAUCUGCAAGGGUGAGCUCCUAUU